GACGAACGCUGGCGGCGUGCCUAAUACAUGCAAGUCGAACGCAGUGGGGACGGGAGAGUAACACGUGGGUAACCGCCCAUCAGAGGGGAUAACACUUGGAAACAGGUGCUAAACCGAUACUGAUGGAUGGACCCGCGGUGCAUGAGCUAGUUGGUGGGGUAACGGCUCACCAAGGCCACGAUGCAUAGCCGACCUGAGAGGUGGAUCAGCCACACUGGAACUGAGACACGGUCCAGACUCCUACGGGAGGCAGCAGUAGGGAAUCUUCGGCAAUGGGCGAAAGUCUGACGGAGCAACGCCGCGUGAAUGAAGAAGGUUUUCGGAUCGUAAAACUCUGUCGUUAGAGAGGCGGUAUCUAACCAGAAAGCCACGGCUAACUACGUGCCAGCAGCCGCGGUAAUAC
rnacentral:rRNA from 1 species